CAGUAGCCGCGGUAAUACGAAGGGGGCUAGCGUUGCUCGGAAUGACUGGGCGUAAAGGGCGCGUAGGCGGAUGGCACAGUCAGAUGUGAAAUUCCCGGGCUUAACCCGGGGGCUGCAUUUGAUACGUGUUGUCUAGAGUGAGGAAGAGGGUCGUGGAAUUCCCAGUGUAGAGGUGAAAUUCGUAGAUAUUGGGAAGAACACCGGUGGCGAAGGCGGCGACCUGGUCCUUUACUGACGCUGAGGCGCGAAAGCGUGGGGAGCAAACAGGAUUAGAUACCCCCGUAGUCCCUGUCUCUUAUAC
rnacentral:rRNA from 1 species